CCAGGUUUCUCAAAUGGAAGAAAGGAGUCCUUGUAAUAUCUCAAAUGUGGAAGUCAAAAGACAAUGUAGGAUCAAAAACUACCCCAAGGUUCCUCACCUUGUCUGUAGGAUGUAUGACACAAGAACCCAGGCCAAGUGCUAGCUGGUCAAACUGAUGCCGAUGUCUUGCUGGACCAAGAACCAUCAUUUCAGUCUUAUCAGAAUUUAAAACUAGGAAGUUACUGGACAUCCAGCUUCUUACUGAUGCAAGGCA